UCGACUCUCUCUCCUUAGACUAUAAAUUUUGGUAUUUGAAUUAGUAACUAAAUACCAUGAAGUUUCAACUCUUUCGAAAUGUGUAUUCCUGCGUGCAGCAAGAUAUGCAUGAUUGAACAAGCUGGAUAAAGCAUAUAUUACACUGUAAUAAAGCAUGCCGCCAAUAUAAAUGAAGACCAAAUCAUAGAGUGAAUUUAUAGGUAUAUAGUACACAAAAGCUUAAAUUUUUAGAUGAAAUGAUCACAUAAUUCAACGUUUAUUAACUAGAGGUAUUCGCGCUCUGUGGAUUUUCUCCUUGAGAUUUCUUCGACUCAAAUUUUAGAAUGACCUUUUGCAUUGCAGCUUUGAAACUUUUCACCUUCUGCUUAUCAUCUGCUAACUCAUUCUUGUCAAUACUGCUUCUUAUGGUAAAAACACUUGACGACGACUCGUCUUCUUGGCUUCCAUGGAACUUGUAAAGCUUCACGUACUUCAUUAUGUUCUCCAGAAAAAUUCUAAUGUCGAAAGGGGGCUAUUUAUAGUAUGUGAAGAUUCGAAAUUGUGCAUAAAAGACAAAAGAAGAAAAAAAUAUAAGACAAAAAGAUGGAAGAAUCUAUUUAUAGUAUGUGAAGAUUCGAAAUUGAGCAUAAAAGACAAAAGAAAGUACAAAAGUUUCUGCUAAAAGAAAAAAAUAUAGUAAGAUAAAAGAUCGAAGGAUUUUGUUGGUAGUUAUUGGUUGUACCUUUCGUAACUAUUGAUAGAUGGAUCCAAACUAAGAUGUCAUUUUGCCGUGAUGGAAAAAAUGCAGGUUUGUUCAACUAUAUAAAAAGUCACCACAAAUUGUUAGCUUAGCUAGUACUUCUACAUUCUCGCGGCCUUGAAUAACAACAACAACAGCAGCUACCCAGUAUAAUCCCAUAAAGUGGGGUCUGGGGAGGGUAAUAUGUAGACGAGUUUUACCCCUAUCCGAAAGGGCAGAGAGGCUGUUUCCAGUCGACCCUCGGCUCAGUGAAGGAAAGGAAAAACAAAAACAAAAACAAAGGAGCAUUAGUAACUCCAGCAGAAAUAGCUUAAAUAAUUAUCUAAACAUAAGAAACAUAAAUAAAAUAGCAUGCAAUAAUAUCUCGCGGCCUUGAAUAGUUGGGCAAAAUACAAAAAUGGUCGAUCGGCUGAAAUUUAUUGUAUUUGCUAGUUAAAAAGUGUAUAAAAUAUAUUUUUCAGUCUGAAUUUAUGUGAAACUAUUUAUUUUUUUAGUCCAAGCCAAAAAGAAUGAUUCCUUUUCAUAUUUAAGAAUAAUUUUUUUUGUACAAUAAUUUACUAUAUAAAAUAUAUGUGCCUCAUUUUAUACUACAAAUUAAAAAAAUUUCUCUUUUUUUUUUAAAUUUCAUAUUUAAUCAAAUAAAUUUACAUAAAUUAAUACACAAAUAUACAUAAAAUAUACAUUGUAGAGGCUAUCGGUUUUAGGAGUGACAAAAACAUACAUUUCUCAUAAUUUUGUUUUGCUCUUGCCUUUGCUCAUCCGUUUUGGCCACCUAAUUCUUGUGUCUAAGCCUGGCCGACCAGAGGCAAUCAAUUAGCUGUAGAUUAUGUGACGGUGACCCUAACACAUUCCAAUCAAGAAAGUUUGCUUUCCCAAUUUCUUUUCUUAUUCCCCGCACUAUCAUCAGAGACAAUCUUAGAAUCUAAUGUAAAUAGAUAAGUUCAAAAUAUUCAGAAAAGAAUGUGAUAUAUAUAUAUAUAUAUAUUUGUUUUUCAGAACUUGCGCACCAGCCCAACCAACCACAACACACACACCAUUUGUAACAAGUAGCCUCUCUAUGAAUACAACCCCUUAUAUAUAUAUAUAUAUAUAUAUAUAUAUAUAUAUAUAUAUAUAUAUAUAAGUUUCUUUUUCAGAACUUGCCCACCAGCCCAACCACAACGCACAGGCCAUUUGUGAAAAGUAGCCCCUCUAUGAAUACAACCCCUUAGCCUCAUUAAAAGAGGGAGUUUUUAUAUAUUCUUAUAUCAUAUAGGAAACCUUUUUACCUUCUAUAUUUAAGGUUUGAUUUAAUUACAAAUUCGUAUAUCAAAUUAUUAAUCAUAUAUCAUACUUAACUAAGGUCUAAUUAGUGGGCAAAUUUUACUCCUUAAUUAAAGAUAUUCAUAUAUCUCAUGUUUCUCUCUCCUCUUAAUUUAUAUAUUUCUUUCUCCUAAUCCAACGUUAUUUUCUCCCUCACAUUUUUUUCUCUUCUCCAUUCCUUCUUCUUCUCAAAAAAUACAAAGAUGNNNNNNNNNNNNNNNNNNNNNNNNNNNNNNNNNNNNNNNNNNNNNNNNNNNNNNNNNNNNNNNNNNNNNNNNNNNNNNNNNNNNNNNNNNNNNNNNNNNNNNNNNNNNNNNNNNNNNNNNNNNNNNNNNNNNNNNNNNNNNNNNNNNNNNUGUCAGAUAUUGUUCUGAAUUUUAACAAGUACGAGAUCGAGAGUAGAUAUAUGAUACAUAAGACUUCCUCAAUCGAUCAAUCAAUAAUUCUCAAUUGUAAAUUUGUGGGGUAGCCAUAUGAAUCUUCUGUAAGUGUGACAGUGUGGGGUGCAAUUGUAGUUUAUUUGUAGUAAUUUUGUAGAUGAAGAGCAAAUUUUAUUGUCAACUUUUUUUUUUCACAUCAGAUUGUAGUUUAAUUUGUAGUAUAAAUAUAGUAAUUUUGUAGAUACCCUUAUAAACAAUACAACUUUAUGCAAUACUUGAACUGAUUUGCAGUUUAUUUAUAGUUUUUUUUGUAGAUGAAGAGAAAAUUUUGUAGUCAACAUUUUUUUCAACAUAGAUUGUAGUGUAAUUGUAGUAUAAAUGUAGUAAUUUUGUAGAUACCCUUCAAAACAAUAUUGCUUUAUACAUACUAAACUGAUUUGUAGUUUAUUUGUAGAUUUUUUUGUAGAAAAUUUAUAGAUUAGGAAAAAAUUUUGUAGUCAAUAUUUUUUUGCAAUAUAGAUUGCAGUUUAAUUGUAGUAUAAAUGUGGUAGUUUGUAGAUACCAUUAAAAUAAUAUUGAAAAAACAUUUAGUCCCAAAUUUUUAGCCGCCUAAUUUGAAAGGAAUAAGCUAUUCAAAUAUUUAUCCCAGAUUGGUAGGCGUCUAAUUUGGAAGGAAUCAAUUCUUAAUAUUGGGUAUUAAAUGAAUGGUAUAAAUUUUCCAGAUUUGUAGGCGCCUAAUUUGGAAGGAAUCAAUUCUUAAUAUUGGGUAUUUAAUGAAUGGUAUACAUUUUGUAGCAAAAAUAUAAACAUGGCAGAUAAUAAUAAAAAUAUGCACAUUUUUAGUAAUAAGGUUUCAUAUAUGGUAUAGAUACGAAAACAUUCCUUAAAAGAAUAGUAAAGAUUCAGAUUUUUACAACUCCUUUUUAGAAAUCCAAAUUCGAAAACAUAUUCUCGAAAAGGAUAUAUCAUUCCAUUUUGGAAUUCAAUGGCAAUUCAUUGAAAGAUAUGAUCUUGUUCUUAAGAACCUCUCCAAAAUAAAAUAAAUAAAUGAAUACAUAAUAUAUAUUGCCAAAAUAUUUGACACCAUUUGUUGAUACUAUAAAACUUCAACUAGUUCGUAUAGAUCAAUAACUAAUCAAAGUUAAGUUUGAUGUGUUAUUCUUUUACAAAUUAUUUUAAUAUCUUUGUAUACUAUCAGAAUUGGGCUUCCUUAAUUUUAUAUGGCUAAUCGAAACUGGAGUGGCAGAUCAUGGCUCGGUCUCACAUUGCAUCGAACCAUGGCACGGAGAUGGAUUACUAAGCUCCUGAGUCAAUGAUCGGUCAAGAUGGAGAUCGACCAUGACCGAGACCGAAGUGAGAUAGAGACCGAGCCAGAUCGAAGGAAGCCUGCUAGACCGAAUAAUAGAAAGUCGAGAUAUCCGUGAUCGGGCGAGGAUCGUGGCGGAAAUCUUGGAACUUAUUGAGUUAAGACCGGACAUUUAGCCAGUCAUGAUCUUUUCUUUAGUAUUUAGAAUUGUACCAUACGUAGAAUUCUUCUGCUAUGUAAAGGGGGUUCUAAUAAUUUUAUAAGGAUCAUAUUCACGCAUAACAAAGAAAUACAUUACAUUGUUCAGUUCAAACUUUUUAUUAGCAUACACUAUUGGUUCCAGCUUGAAGGUCGUAACCGCUCAUUAUAUUGGUUAACAUUAUUUUACAGUUAAUUCCUAAUAUUAAUUCCCAUAUUUCUCAGUUUGUGCCAAGUGAAAUAAUAUAUUCUUAAAACCACUCAUAAGUUUAAUUGUUGUCUAAUUUUAAGGAUAAACAAUUUGGCCCACUAUGGGGCUAAGCAUAAUAGUGAUUGCCAGGUACAAAUUUUCGUAACACAUACUAUUUUACGCUUGUUUUUUGAAGUAUCUUUGAUUACAGAAUUAAAAGAUGUCAAACUCUCAGUCAUCACCUCAAUACAUUGACAAUAAUAUCAGCCACCACGGUGAGAAUGAGAACAUUGCACCAGGAAAUGUAGCACCCCAUGCUGACCUCGAUGGAGUUCUGGCUGCAGACCCAAUUGACGUCAAUUCACACGUAGCCAUCAAGGGAAAUAUGGUUGUCGAUCCCAAAAGUAGCGUUCAUGAGGGUACGGAUCAGCUACUCAGAAUGCGGAUAGCGGUGAAGAUGGAGGGAUUAGCCUGCGGGUAAUCUUUGAAAUAUUGCAGGACCAGCAGACAGUAAAAUCUCAACUCCAAAAUCAGAACCACAUGCCGAGCAGGAUCAAACUCGAUCCAUCCCAAAAAAAUUUACAGCGGGUCGAAUCAACUUAGAAAAAAUCAAAUGAGAAGGAAUUGGAGACCAAUCCCACUAUCCUAGAAUGCUCGAAGAGUUGAUGAAGCGAAUCGAGACAAGGGAAAAGAAGAUCGAGGAAAAUGAUAAGAAGGUGGAAACCUAUAACUCUAGGUUCAACCAAAUCCUCGGGACACCACUAAUAUUGAAAGGAGUAGAUUCUAAAAUGUUUGUACAAAAACCUUUUCCCCCAAGAACUGCUCCAAAUACAAUCCCCAAGAAGUUCCGUAUGCCUGAGAUUCCUAAGUAUAACGGGACAACUGAUCCAAAAGAACAUGUCACCUCGUACAUGUGCGCCAUCAAAGGAAAUGACUUGGAAGAUGACAAAAUUGAAUCCGUAUUGCUAAAGAAAUUCGGGGAGACUCAAUCAAAGGGUGUCAUGAUAUGGUAUCAUAGCUUACCGCCUAAUUCUAUAGAUUCAUUUGCUAUCCAACAAAUUCUUUUGUAAAGGCACACGCCAGAGCCAAUAAGGUUGCAAUAAGAAAGUUGGAUCUUUUCAAGGUAAGGCAGAAAGAUAAUGAGAUGCUCAGGGAAUUCCUGCUUUGAUUCUAAAUAGAGAGAAUAAAUUUGCCUCCGGUCACCGAUGACCGGGCUAUUCAAGCUUUCACCCAAGGUCUCAGUACUCAGAGUUCCAUCGCUUCAUAGCAGUUGAAGCAAAAAUUGAUCGAGUAUCCAGCUGUCACUUAGACCGAUGUACAUAAUGGAUAAUAGUGGAAGAUCAGGGUCGAGGAUAAUCAACUAGGGAAUCCUUCCGGUUCCGUUUAUCCUAAUAGGCCUGUAGAUAGAAUCAACAGGGAUAUCGACCGAGAGCUAAGGUAGAAUAGAGAUUGGUAUCUAUGGUACAGUGGGGACAACAGAAGUAGCUGGUAUGGACGAAAGUUUGCACCAAAUGAAAGGAGAAAUGAUCGAGGUCAAAGUUCACGGGGAUUCAUGAGUAAGGAUGGUUUCAAUAGGGAUAACGGGCCCAAAAGUUCCACGAUUGUCGGAAUAUGACUUCAAUAUAGAUGCAUUGGCCAUUAUAUCAGCCAUCAAAUGUAUCAAGGAUACUAUAUAGACUACAUAGUGAUAUGGCCCAGAGAAAUCCCAACCAAAUAUGCAAGUAUCAUGGCACCUAUGAAUAGAAGAUUGUAGGCAGCUAAAGGAUGAAACAACCUGAUUAUUCAAUGAAGGGUAUCUUUGAGAAUUAUUAAGCGAUCGAGCCAAUAAUCACUUAAAAAUAGAUAUUAGUUGACAGAACAAGCAGUAAGAGCCACAACACGUGAUUGACAUGAUCUUUGGAGGGGUAGAUAUUCCUCAAGGAUGAAUAUUUAAAUGCACCAAUGUGUCGAUCACAAGGGAAAAAUGAACUCGGGACUACUUAUCGGAAAGGGCCUUAUCUUUCAAUGAUGAGGAUGCAGAAGGGAUUGAGCAACCCCACAAUGAUGCUCUGGUAAUAUUUGUCCUUAUAAAUAAAAUUCAAGUUAAACAUGUUUUGAUUGAUCCAUGUAGCUCGGCCAAUAUUAUUCGAUCGAUGGACGUAGAACAAAUCGGCCUACAAGAUCAACUUGUGCCCACAUGCCGAGUACUUAAUGACAUCAACAUAGAAAGCGAAACCACCAAAGGGGAAAUUAUUUUACUAGUAAACGUGGCUGGGAUCAUACAAGAAACAAAGUUCCAUGUGAUCGAGAGUGACAUGAGGUACAACUCAGUGCUCGGAAG
rnacentral:lncRNA from 1 species